rnacentral:piRNA from 1 species
UCCAUGUGUACUCUUUGGGUAGUGCUUUA